rnacentral:rRNA from 1 species
GAGUUUGAUCCUGGCUCAGAUUGAACGCUGGCGGCAGGCCUAACACAUGCAAGUCGAGCGGCAGCGGCUUAACUGAACCUUCGGGGAACGUUAAGGGCGGCGAGCGGCGGACGGGUGAGUAAUGCCUGGAAUAUGCCCUGAUGUGGGGGAUAACUAUUGGAAACGAUAGCUAAUACCGCAUAAUCUCUUCGGAGCAAAGAGGGGGACUUCGGGCCCUCUCGCGUCAGGAUUAGCCCAGGUGGGAUUAGCUUGUUGUGAGGUAAUGGCUCACCAAGGCAACGAUCCCUAGCUGGUCUGAGAGGAUGAUCAGCCACACUGGAACUGAGACACGGUCCAGACUCCUACGGGAGGCAGCAGUGGGGAAUAUUGCACAAUGGGGGAACCCUGAUGCAGCUAUGCCGCGUGUGUGAAGAAGGCCUUCGGGUUGUAAAGCACUUUCAGUAGGGAGGAAGGUAGUGUAGUUAACACCUGCACUAUUUGACGUUACCUACAGAAGAAGCACCGGCUACUCCGUGCCAGCAGCCGCGGUAAUACGGAGGGUGCGAGCGUUAAUCGGAAUUACUGGGCGUAAAGCGCAUGCAGGCGGCCUGUUAAGUCAGAUGUGAAAGCCCGGGGCUUAACCUCGGAAUUGCAUUGAAACUGGCAGGCUAGAGUCUUGUAGAGGGGGGUAGGAUUUCAGGUGUAGCGGUGAAAUGCG